ensembl:lncRNA
CCUCUCUCCCUCUCCCCCAUUACCCCCCUUUUCGCGUUAACUGCUGAUGCACAGGGUGUCCUUGUGCGUCUUCAUUCGCCGUAGGGGGUUCUCAACUCCCUUUCAAAUCCCUCAACGGCGAUAUUUAACGCCUAGGGAAAGCGCUCCGGCAAAUCUUUUUCUCGUAGGACGGUACUGAAACGGCUUAGGCACUGAAACGGGUUAGGGUUAGGGUAGUAGUGGUUAGGGCUAGGGUAAGGGUAGUAGUGGUUAGGGUUAGGGUUAGGGUAGUGGUUAGGGUUAGGUUAGGUUAGGGUUAGGGUUAGGGUUAUGCACUGUUUGCUGUGGAGGGAUUACAUUUGAAAAACCCCUCCGUCAUUAGAAGAUGCACAAGGACACCCUUUGCGUCAGCAGUUAACGUGAAAAGCCCCUGAACAAGCUUCGAUUUUUGACGAACUCAGAGGGAGACUUUUGUUGUUGCACAGUUUGCUAGCAGGAUGCAGUCUCCCAGUGUAGGUCUUUGCCUUCUCCUAUUUGAGGGCCCCUAAGAGCCGCAUUUCAGAUCAUCUGUAUUUCAUAAACGGUGCGAGAUCUUUGCCGUGUGCGAAAACGGAAAGAAAUUCUUGACAAUGGGAGAGGAAGGAGGUGAGACUGCGUUGUGUGCAACGCAUUCCUUCUCUCCUCAAUAAAAGAAAGACUUUCGAUUCAAGCUGUCAGAGAACUUCAGACUAUACCGUCAACUUGAAAAGAAUAUAAUUACACUUCAAAUGCUCGUAAAAGGAAUUAUUUUCAGAGCAGAGGAGCGUGGACGCCUCUAUUGUGGAACACUUGAGUCGUGUGAAUGGAAUUAAAAAACCCUCACCUUGCAUUGUCUUCACCGAGGUAAGGAGAAGGACAGCGGUGUAGGGGCAGGUGAUACCUGUGUGCACUGCUAUGUGGGUGCAGCUUAUGUUGGGGAGGGGGGGGGGUUGGAGGAAGGCAGGUGCACAGCAGGAUAGUCUAGUGGUGAAGGUGUUUGACUCCAAGUUGGAAGGCCCUGAGUUUGAUUCCCAAUGUCUACCAGCCUCCCUGUAGGCCUCUUUGAGCAGGAUGCCUCAAGGAGGCCUGUUGUUCCAUGACGACAUGUAUCUGGAAUUGAAGUGGACUAUACGUCGCUCUGGGUAACCGCGUACCCUAAUGAACUAUCUAUAUAACUUAUGCACGUGCGUGUGGGUGUGGGUGUGUGUGUGUGUGUGU